UACGAAGGGGGCUAGCGUUGUUCGGAAUUACUGGGCGUAAAGCGUGCGCAGGCGGCUUCUCAAGUCAGGGGUGAAAGCCCAGAGCUCAACUCUGGAACUGCCUUUGAGACUGAGAGGCUUGAGUACGGGAGAGGUGAGUGGAAUUCCCAGUGUAGAGGUGAAAUUCGUAGAUAUUGGGAAGAACACCGGUGGCGAAGGCGGCUCACUGGCCCGUAACUGACGCUGAGGUGCGAAAGCGUGGGGAGCAAACAGG
rnacentral:rRNA from 1 species